AGCAGCCGCGGUAAUUCCAGCUCCAAUAGCGUAUAUUAAAGUUGUUGCAGUUAAAAAGCUCGUAGUUGAAUUUCGGGGUCAGUAGGUCGGUCGUGCCACUGGUAUGAACUGGUUUUACUGAUUCCUCCUUCUUGAAGAACUGUAAUGCCAUUAAUUUGGUGUUGCAGGGAAUCAGGACUGUUACUUUGAAAAAAUUAGAGUGUUUAAAGCAGGCUUUAGCUUGAAUACAUUAGCAUGGAAUAAUGAAAUAGGACGUUUGAUCCUAUUUUGUUGGUUUCUAGGAUUGACGUAAUGAUUAAUAGGGAUAGUUGGGGGCAUUAGUAUUCAAUUGUCAGAGGUGAAAUUCUUGGAUUUAUUGAAGACUAACUACUGCGAAAGCAUUUGCCAAGGAUGUUUUCAUUAAUCAAGAACGAAAGUUAGGGGAUCGAAGACGAUCAGAUACCGUCGUAGUCUUAACCAUAAACUAUGCCGACUAGGGAUCGGAUGAUGUUAAUUUUUAAUGACUCAUUCGGCGCCUUAC
rnacentral:rRNA from 1 species